rnacentral:rRNA from 1 species
CAAUAUAAGUGAUGGCGACCGGCGCACGGGUGAGUAACACGUAUCCAACCUGCCGAUAACUCGGGGAUAGCCUUUCGAAAGAAAGAUUAAUACCCGAUGGUAUAAUAAAACCGCAUGGUUUAAUUAUUAAAGAAUUUCGGUUAUCGAUGGGGAUGCGUUCCAUUAGGCAGUUGGUGAGGUAACGGCUCACCAAACCUUCGAUGGAUAGGGGUUCUGAGAGGAAGGUCCCCACAUUGGAACUGAGACACGGUCCAA